rnacentral:rRNA from 1 species
CGGAACGAGCUGAUCCUGCGCUCAGAGUUUGAUCCUGGCUCAGAGUUUGAUCCUGAGCUCAGAGUUUGAUCCUGUGCUCAAACGUGAUCCUGCUGCCCAUAAGACUGGGAUAACUCCGGGAAACCGGGGCUAAUACCGGAUAACAUUUUGAACCGCAUGGUUCGAAAUUGAAAGGCGGCUUCGGCUGUCACUUAUGGAUGGACCCGCGUCGCAUUAGCUAGUUGGUGAGGUAACGGCUCACCAAGGCAACGAUGCGUAGCCGACCUGAGAGGGUGAUCGGCCACACUGGGACUGACACACGGCCCAGACUCCUACGGGAGGCAGCAGUAGGGAAUCUUCCGCAAUGGACGAAAGUCUGACGGAGCAACGCCGCGUGAGUGAUGAAGGCUUUCGGGUCGUAAAACUCUGUUGUUAGGGAAGAACAAGUGCUAGUUGAAUAAGCUGGCACCUUGACGGAACCUAACCAGAAAGCCACGGCUAACUACGUGCCAGCAGCCGCGGUAAUACGUACGUGGCAAGCGUUAUCCGGAAUUAUUGGGCGUAAAGCGCGCGCAGGUGGUUUCUUAAGUCUGAUGUGAAAGCCCACGGCUCAACCGUGGAGAGUCAUUGGAAACUGGGAGACUUGAGUGCAGAAGAGGACAGUGGAAUUCCAUGUGUAGCGGUGAAAUGCGUAGAGAUAUGGAGGAACACCAGUGGCCGAGGGCGACUUUCUGGUCUGUAACUGACCACUGAGGGCGCGAAAGCAGUGCGGGGCAAACAGGCAUUAGAUAACCCUGGCUAGUCCACGACGUAAACGAUGAGUGCUAGGUGCUUAGAGGAUUCCGCCGUAUAGUGCUGGAAGCUUAACGCAUUUAGGCAACUCCCGUCCCUGGGGGAAGUACGGGACCGCAAA